GAACGCUAGCUACAGGCUUAACCAUCAUGCAAGUCCGAGGGGCAGCAUGGAAGAAGCUUGCUUCUUCUGAUGGCGACCGGCGCACGGGUGCGUAACGCGUAUCAAACCUGCCUCAUACUCGGGGAUAGCCUUGCGAAAGUAAGAUUAAUACCCGAUGUUGUUAUGUUACCGCAUGGUGAUAUAACCAAAGAUUUAUCGGUAUGAGAUGGUGAUGCGUCCGAUUAGGUAGUAGGCGGGGUAACGGCCCACCUAGCCUUCGAUCGGUAGGGGUUCUGAGAGGAAGGUCCCCCACACUGGAACUGAGACACGGUCCAGACUCCUACGGGAGGCAGCAGUGAGGAAUAUUGGUCAAUGGACGGAAGUCUGAACCAGCCAAGUAGCGUGCAGGAUGACGGCCCUCUGGGUUGUAAACUGCUUUUAGUUGGGAAUAAAAAAGAGGACGUGUCCUCUAUUGUAUGUACCUUCAGAAAAAGGACCGGCUAAUUCCGUGCCAGCAGCCGCGGUAAUACGGAAAGUCCAGGCGUUAUCCGGAUUUAUUGGGUUUAAAGGGAGCGUAGGCGGAUUAUUAAGUCAGUGGUGAAAGACGGUGGCUCAACCAUCGUUAGCCAUUGAAACUGGUAGUCUUGAGUGCAGACAGGGAUGCUGGAACUCGUGGUGUAGCGGUGAAAUGCUUAGAUAUCACGAUGAACUCCGAUCGCGAAGGCAGGUGUCCGGGCUGCAACUGACGCUGAGGCUCGAAAGUGUGGGUAUCAAACAGGAUUAGAUACCCUGGUAGUCCACACAGUAAACGAUGUAUACUCGCGGUUUGCGAUAGACAGUAAGCCGCCAAGCGAAAGCAUUAAGUAUACCACCUGGGGAGUACGCCGGCAACGGG
rnacentral:rRNA from 1 species